rnacentral:rRNA from 1 species
UACGAACGCUGGCGGCGUGCUUAACACAUGCAAGUCGAACGGAAAGGCCCUGCUUUUGUGGGGUGCUCGAGUGGCGAACGGGUGAGUAACACGUGAGUAACCUGCCCUUGACUUUGGGAUAACUUCAGGAAACUGGGGCUAAUACCGGAUAGGAGCUCCUGCUGCAUGGUGGGGGUUGGAAAGUUUCGGCGGUUGGGGAUGGACUCGCGGCUUAUCAGCUUGUUGGUGGGGUAGUGGCUUACCAAGGCUUUGACGGGUAGCCGGCCUGAGAGGGUGACCGGCCACAUUGGGACUGAGAUACGGCCCAGACUCCUACGGGAGGCAGCAGUGGGGAAUAUUGCACAAUGGGCGGAAGCCUGAUGCAGCAACGCCGCGUGCGGGAUGACGGCCUUCGGGUUGUAAACCGCUUUCGCCUGUGACGAAGCGUGAGUGACGGUAAUGGGUAAAGAAGCACCGGCUAACUACGUGCCAGCAGCCGCGGUGAUACGUACGGUGCGAGCGUUGUCCGGAUUUAUUGGGCGUAAAGGGCUCGUAGGUGGUUGAUCGCGUCGGAAGUGUAAUCUUGGGGCUUAACCCUGAGCGUGCUUUCGAUACGGGUUGACUUGAGGAAGGUAGGGGAGAAUGGAAUUCCUGGUGGAGCGGUGGAAUGCGCAGAUAUCAGGAGGAACACCAGUGGCGAAGGCGGUUCUCUGGGCCUUUCCUGACGCUGAGGAGCGAAAGCGUGGGGAGCGAACAGGCUUAGAUACCCUGGUAGUCCACGCUGUAAACGGUGGGUACUAGGUGUGGGGUCCAUUCCACGGGUUCCGUGCCGUAGCUAACGCUUUAAGUACCCCGCCUGGGGAGUACGGCCGCAAGGCUAAAACUCAAAGGAAUUGACGGGGCCCCGCACAAGCGGCGGAGCAUGCGGAUUAAUUCGAUGCAACGCGUAGAACCUUACCUGGGUUUGACAUGGAUCGGGAGCGCUCAGAGAUGGGUGUGCCUCUUUUGGGGUCGGUUCACAGGUGGUGCAUGGCUGUCGUCAGCUCGUGUCGUGAGAUGUUGGGUUAAGUCCCGCAACGAGCGCAACCCUUGUUCACUGUUGCCAGCACGUUAUGGUGGGGACUCAGUGGAGACCGCCGGGGUCAACUCGGAGGAAGGUGGGGAUGACGUCAAGUCAUCAUGCCCCUUAUGUCCAGGGCUUCACGCAUGCUACAAUGGCUGGUACAGAGAGUGGCGAGCCUGUGAGGGUGAGCGAAUCUCGGAAAGCCGGUCUCAGUUCGGAUUGGGGUCUGCAACUCGACCCCAUGAAGUCGGAGUCGCUAGUAAUCGCAGAUCAGCAACGCUGCGGUGAAUACGUUCCCGGGGCU